rnacentral:rRNA from 1 species
ACGAACGCUGGCGGCGUGCUUAACACAUGCACGUCGAACGGAAAGGCCCUGCUUUUGUGGGGUGCUCGAGUGGCGAACGGGUGAGUAACACGUGAGUAACCUGCCCUUGACUUUGGGAUAACUUCAGGAAACUGGGGCUAAUACCGGAUAGGAGCUCCUGCUGCAUGGUGGGGGUUGGAAAGUUUCGGCGGUUGGGGAUGGACUCGCGGCUUAUCAGCUUGUUGGUGGGGUAGUGGCUUACCAAGGCUUUGACGGGUAGCCGGCCUGAGAGGGUGACCGGCCACAUUGGGACUGAGAUACGGCCCAGACUCCUACGGGAGGCAGCAGUGGGGAAUAUUGCACAAUGGGCGGAAGCCUGAUGCAGCAACGCCGCGUGCGGGAUGACGGCCUUCGGGUUGUAAACCGCUUUCGCCUGUGACGAAGCGUGAGUGACGGUAAUGGGUAAAGAAGCACCGGCGAACUACGU